UACAGAGGUCCCAAGCGUUGUUCGGAUUUACUGGGCGUAAAGGGUGCGUAGGUGGUCGGAAAAGUCCGCUGUGAAAUCUUCGAGCUUAACUCGGAAAAGGCAUUGGAUACUAUUCGGCUGGAGGGUUGGAGGGGAGACUGGAAUUCUCGGUGUAGCAGUGAAAUGCGUAGAUAUCGAGAGGAACACCAGUGGCGAAGGCGAGUCUCUGGACAACUCCUGACACUGAGGCACGAAAGCUAGGGGAGCAAACAGG
rnacentral:rRNA from 1 species